UGGGGAAUAUUGGGCAAUGGGCGCAAGCCUGACCCAGCAACGCCGCGUGAGGGAAGAAGGCCUUCGGGUUGUGAACCUCUGUCCUUGGUGACGAAACAAAUGACGGUAGCCAAGGAGGAAGCCCCGGCUAACUACGUGCCAGCAGCCGCGGUAAUACGUAGGGGGCGAGCGUUGUCCGGAAUUACUGGGCGUAAAGGGUGCGUAGGUGGCCUUUUAAGUUGGGUGUGAAAUACCCGGGCUUAACUUGGGGGGUGCAUCUAAUACUGGGAGGCUGGGGAGCAGGAGAGGGAAGCGGAAUUCCUGGUGUGGCGGUGAAAUGCGUAGAUAUUAGAAGGAACACCGGUGGCGAAGGCGGCUUUCUG
rnacentral:rRNA from 1 species